GACGAACGCUGGCGGCGUGCCUAAUACAUGCAAGUAGAACGCACAGUUUAUACCGUAGCUUGCUACACCAUAGACUGUGAGUUGCGAACGGGUGAGUAACGCGUAGGUAACCUGCCUGGUAGCGGGGGAUAACUAUUGGAAACGAUAGCUAAUACCGCAUAAUAUUAAUUAUUGCAUGAUAAUUAAUUGAAAGGUGCAAUUGCACCACUACCAGAUGGACCUGCGUUGUAUUAGCUAGUAGGUGAGGUAACGGCUCACCUAGGCGACGAUACAUGGCCGACCUGGGAGGGUGAUCGGCCACACUGGGACUGAGACACGGCCCAGACUCCUACGGGAGGCAGCAGUAGGGAAUCUUCGGCAAUGGACGAAAGUCUGACCGAGCAACGCCGCGUGAGUGAAGAAGGUUUUCGGAUCGUAAAGCUCUGUUGUAAGAGAAGAACGGGUGUGAGAGUGGAAAGUUCACACUGUGACGGUAUCUUACCAGAAAGGGACGGCUAACUACGU
rnacentral:rRNA from 1 species